rnacentral:rRNA from 1 species
AUUGAACGCUGGCGGCAUGCCUUACACAUGCAAGUCGAACGGUAACGCGGGGCAACCUGGCGACGAGUGGCGAACGGGUGAGUAAUGUAUCGGAACGUGCCCAGUUGUGGGGGAUAACUGCUCGAAAGAGCAGCUAAUACCGCAUACGACCUGAGGGUGAAAGCGGGGGAUCGCAAGACCUCGCGCAAUUGGAGCGGCCGAUAUCAGAUUAGGUAGUUGGUGGGGUAAAGGCUCACCAAGCCAACGAUCUGUAGCUGGUCUGAGAGGACGACCAGGCACCCUGGGACUGGAACCCGGCCCAGACUCCUACGGGAGGCAGCAUUGGGGAAUUUUGGACAUUGGGCGCAAUUCUGUUUCAGCCAUGCCGCGUGCGGGAAGAAGGCCUUCGGGUUGUAAACCGCUUUUGUCAGGGAAGAAACGCUCUGGGUUAAUACCUCGGGGUAAUGACGGUACCUGAAGAAUAAGCACCGGCUAACUACGUGCCAGCAGCCGCCGUAAUAC